GACGAACGCUGGCGGCGUGCUUAACACAUGCAAGUCGAACGGAAAGGCCCUGCUUUCGUGGGGUUCUAGAGUGGCGAACGUGUGUGUAACACGUGAGUCACCUGCCCUUUACUUUGGGAUAACUUCAGAAAACUGCGGCUAAUACCGGAUAGGAGCUCCUGCUACAUGGUGGGGGUUGGAAAGUUUCGGCGGUUGGGGAUGGACUCGCGGCUUAUCAGCUUGUUGGUGGGGGAGUGGCUUACCAAGGCUUUGACGGGUAGCCGGCCUGGGAGGGUGACCGGCCACCUUGGGACUGAGAUACGGCGCAGACUCCUACGUUAGGCAAUGGUGGGGAAUAUUGUACAGUGAUCGGAAGUCUGAUGCAGCAACGCCGCGUGCGGGAUGACGGCCUUCGUGUUGUAAACCGCUUUCGCCUGUGACGAAGCGUGAUUGACGGUAAUGGGUAAAGAAGCACCGGCUAACUUCGUG
rnacentral:rRNA from 1 species